AGGUGUUUAAUUAGAUUUUCUGGAUCUGACUUCUGCAUACUUUACUCAAGUUGAUAAUGCUUCUCCAGAGGCUGCCAGUCUACUGUGGUGUACAGCAUCGUGCGUCUCUCUUUGGGCUUAUCGCUGUUGUACUUUAAUACUCAUGUAGCGCCAAGGUUCGUAGAAAACCAUAGCAGAAAUAGUUCGUAGUGCUGGUUUCAAGGGUGCUGACUUCAGAUCUGUUUGAACAAAGAGAGCUCAAAUAUGAAGAAGUCUGAAUUAACUUUAGAAAGACAGGAUGCUAUGGAUAACCCAGAGUGAUGCAUUAGAUACAGAGUUGUUAGUAGGCUGCAGCAGAUGGUUAGGAGAACAAGCUUCUGCAUAGUAAUUCAGUUGUAACGUAUUAACAGCCAUAGAAUUUAUGUUCAGAGAACAGCUGCAACUGUUGAUGUGCAUGUGGCAGAAAAAUCAAAACAUAUAAUUUGAAUUUAGUCUAUUCAACUGUUAAAAAGAGUGCUGAAUAUUCCAGGCUACAAAAAUAGAGGGAGGCUGAAACUUAUACUAUUAAAAGAUUCUAUCUUUUAUACAUGAAGUCGUAUUUGAUGACUUGACAUCUUUUUUUUCUUCACAUUUGCUACUAAUGUGUUGCAUUGGGUGGGUGCACACAAGGGAAUGGAUUUCAGAUGCUUAAAAAUUCAAAGUCAGGAUUCACAAGCUGUCUGAUAGCAAUAAAGGAGAUUGUAUGUACUGUGGAGCAGGGAUGUAAAAUUCUAUUCAUUUAGUUAACCAGUUAAAUGUUAAGUUUAGGCAGUUAAUUGAUUAAACUGGGGCAGCCGGGAGUGGCCCUUGCCCAUGGUCCAACCAGGGCUACUCCAGCUCCAUAGUGCUUCGGGCUUUUCACCCUGCAUGGGUGAGGAGCAGAAGCUGCAGUGUGGGGUGGCAAAGCUGCUGGCUCCCAGGGCACGCAAGCUCUUGGUCUGGAAGUUGGCAGGCUCUCACAGGGUAUAGUAGGCCAGUUACCCAUAGAAGUUAUCUGUUCAAAUCCCUACUGUAAAGAUAGAAAUUUCAGCAAUGAAAUUUUAUUUCAGUUUCAAGCUUCCAAAUGGCAUCAAGCAGAAAAGCAUUCUAAAAGCAAUGGUUCACUUGUGUUCCAUUUUGAAUGCCAGGCAGCAAACUGAAAGGAAGGAAUCUUGGUGGGAAAUGUCAUGUGUGACCAUUAAGGGGCUUUUCCUGGCAUCCCAGAAGGAAGUUGUCCUGUUACUUUUUCUUAGAAACUGAUCAUAAACCGUGAAGUGUGAAUGCUCUACUACUGAUGAAGAAAAGUCUUUUCCUUAAGAUCUCUUAUCUUUCUGUUUCAACUUCUUAAACCAACAUUUGAUGUAUGGAGCCUUCACUAGCUGGCUUCCCCCCCAUAGGAGCACACAGCAAGCAUUUUACCAACCCUUACAAGUGAAAUAAUUGUUUUGAUGUUUUCCUGAAGAGAUGUCUUCAGAGUUUUUGAACUCAGUUUGCGCCCUAAAGAAAAUUCUUGCAAGCAUGUCCACACAGAAACCAUUCUUCUUGAACGGCAUCUCCUUUCUGCAUCUUAGAAGGGUAAUGUCUUCUCUCUCUCUGCCCUAUUGGAGAACCUUGUAAAUAGAUAAAUGCGUAUGGUGUUGUGCCAAGCUGUUUCAACAUGUGUGAAAGGUUGCAGCAAGAGAACCAGAACACAUUUCCACCCUGAAACAAGUAACAGACUUAAAAAACCUCACAAUCCUGGAAAAUCCAAUAACAAGGAUGUCCUAAUCCAGAACAAAGAACGGACUUUGUAGAUAAAUGUCUUAAUGUCGACCUCGUGAAGCAACUAAUGCACAGAAACAAAUACAGAAUUACCUUUCCCAUCAUGUCUGAAUGAAUCAUUACAUUCUGUGAUCAAAAACAUCUGCAUGUGUAAAUCCACACAACCAGUGAAUGUGAAGAGCUUUUACCAGGAAAGAGUUGCUCUGCAUUGCCUCUUUUGUAGCAAGCCCCUUCCCUAAGAAGGUGAAUCUUUGAGCAACUCUAAUGCUAUUGGUGGUCCUAUAGUGUUGGGUUUACAUUGUACCUCCAGUCUUGUCCAGCAGCUUCAUCAACAAAAGGAACAAAAAAACUCUAUAAUCCAAGAGAUCGGACAGAACUUUUUUAAAAAAGGAACUUACCUCCAGUGGAAUGAGAGAGGCUACAAGUGUAAUGCUCCAACUCAUCCACUCCGUGUCCUAGGUGCGGUUUGAGUUCAUACAGCUGAUGGAGUUGUUUAAGUCUCUUUUGGCUACUGGCAUAUUUGGAUGGACACUCUUCCAGGGUAUAGACACUAGGAGGUAUGAUAGAGAAAGAAACAAGUUCAGAAAGAGAGCAGAAAUGCUGAAGGAAGUGUGCUCUUUUUCUGGCUCCUCCUAUAUCUACAUCCCAAACUAAGGAGGAGAUCAUGGUUCUCACACGUUAACGCCAGAUUCUUUCUCUCCCAUAUCACUUUGGACUUAUACAGGAUAUUUUCCUUCCAUUUGAGAGAGAGAGAAACUUUGUUGUUUAGUUGUUCCCUGCAGUGUCAGUCUGUAUGCUCAAUGAGGUUUCUUGAUGGAAAGGCCAUAAUUGGCUUAUCUGUUUUCUUUUACUUGAACCUGGAGCUCUUAGUAGUGCAUCUUAUUCCAUGAAUGUGUUGAAAUGAAUUUAACAAAUGUGAUUUGCUGAUUUAAAAAAAAAAUAAUUACAAAUCUGGAUUUUAAAAAAGGGGAGUAGGCUCUGUUCAUAUUAUUUUUUUUAUUUUCUUUUAGAAAACCAUUGAAGAGAUCCAAGCAGCCUGAAAAAUGGCUUUAAAAAAAACAGCCGAAAUUUUUCUCAGCUCCUGAUGAUGGUAGCAAGAACAACAUUUUGUGACUGGUAGAGAAGGGUAAGGAGUUAUAAAAAGAUGGGGAAGAGAGAAUCUCUAAAGAAACUCUCUUUCUGAUGUCUCCCUAUCAGUAGUAGAAGUUGAAGGGGAACAAAUUCUGGGAUUGAACAACUCCAUGCAUUGGUUUUGGUUUUGUUCUUCACUCCUGAGAAUAAAGUGUAGAGCCACAGUGAACAUGUGUUGUGACAGUAAGAUUUAAUUAUGUCUUUUCCUAUUUUGUGCUCUCUUGAAGAAAAAAUCAGUCUCACUGACUUGGGAAUAUUGAGCUAUACAUUUCAUACUUAAAAUAACAUUAGAAGUAGUGGCAUCAGAAUAUAAAAAGCACCAAUGCCCCACAAUCAGUUGCCUUUAUCUGUUCACUUGGAAAAAUGAUUAUAUUAGUUAUGGCCAGGCUGGUUGGCUGGUUUCCUUUAAGUACAUUGCAUUCCUUUGUCAAACAGAAUUUAGAUUUUUGAGUGUUAAAGGCAACUGGAAAAAUACGUUCUCUUUUAGAUCCUCCUUAUUGAAGUCAAUGGGAUUUGGAAUUGAUUUCAGUAGAGGCAGGAUCAGAUUGUUAAUGGUGGACUUACCUGCAGUCAGUGUCACAAGUUUAAAUGUGAUUAGAAGGUAUCCAAUAUGGCAAAUAUUUUAUCUUAAACCUGUGAUUUCUUCUUUUCACUUGCCUGGCUCCUGUUUGUCGUCCUACUGAUGUUCCUACUUGAAGCUGUUUCUAGCACAGCCUGAUUGCAAAUUGAUUUGGGAGCAGGAGUGUAUCUUUGUUUUUCAUAUACUGUAAAAGGCAGAGAAUGGACUCUGGAGACAGUGGAGGUACUUUAGCCCACUUUGCCACAUAUAUAGAAAUAAUUGUCUCUAAGCUCUGCCCCAUAACAAGAAAUGGCAACAAAUGUUGACUUUCCCUGCUUACCCCGAACAUAUAAUAGCCACUUGAUUAAUUUUUACGAUAAAAUUAUAGUAGGGCUAAUGUUCCGUGGCUGUCACAGGAGUAGCUUCAAUUGUGUAAGCCCAAAAGACCCCACUGGAGCAUGCUUUCUGCCAGCUUUUUUAUGAAAUUGCUGUGCUAGGCAAUACUGCCUCAGCUUUUAGACUUUACUCUUUGCUCCGCUUCUGUUUCUCAAUGUUGGUUGGAAAAUUUCCUGUAUGAAAGGUUAAACAAAUAAAUAUGGGGCAUGUGCAAUAGAUAUAUAUAUACAUAUAUAUAUUUUAAUACUUGUGGACAAAAUGAUGUUACAAGUUGUUUGAAAACAACAAAAUCACCAAUGUCUUCCAUUUUGAGAUGUGUAUAGUUCCAUAAGCAUUAGUGCUUUGUAGCAAACUGUAGUGCCAUGUUAGGAUCAGUGCAUGAGCCUAGUAGUAUUUUUACAAUUUCAGAGUGGCAAAUUAUUAAUGAUAAUAAACAAUAACGUAACUAACAGUAGAAAGCAGACAGUAAAAAAUGUUAUGAACAUGGUCUAAAGAUGCAGUAUCCUUAAGCAGUGGUAGUGACAAUGCUAUCUUUGGAAACAGAAUUUAUUAACUUGAUGGGAUUUGUGAAAUAAUAGCUGACUUUUUUUGGUAAAAUCUAUCUAAGCUAAACAGUAGACGGUGCGCAUCCAAAUUAAUCAUCUCUGAGUCCAUAUAAGGUGAACCGCAAGACAAAUCCUGGAUAUACACCAUAUUGGCAAUGUCAUUUGUUUCCUUUUAGUCUUAGAGAAACGCCCUAAACUGUUCUUGCAAAUACUCUUCAUAUAGACAACUUCAAUACCACCUUCCCUCCCAUCCACUAUAUAGAAGCUGAAGAGCCACUUAGUGUUUUUUAGCAGCUCGACUACCUUUUCAUAUAGGUAUAAUUAAGGAGCUCUGCCAGUUAUUGAGCAAAGUAAUAUUUUGCAAGAAAUAACUCUAUUUAAAGAAAUUACAUGAUGCUAAUGCUAAUUAGUAAAACUAGUUAAAUUGUUUUGGGAUGCUGUCUACAGAUUUUGUCAAUUUUGUGUGCUUAGAAUCUUAAAUUAUAGAUUGACACUUCCAGUACUUUCCCUAGCUAUCUAAUCUCUUUUUAACUACAUGGCAAUUUUUUCUCUCUUCACAAUGCACCCUCUCUAUUUUCUGACAAUGGAAAAUUGAGCUAAGUGAAAUCCAAACGGCUUAACAUUAAACAUAAGAUUGUCAUGAAAGUCAUAGACUCCAUGACUUUCAGAGAUAUGUGACAUUUUUCCUUCACCCUUGUGCCUGGGGUGGUAGGGCCAGGGCCACUGUAGGCAGUGGGGGACCCACAGCUCUGAGCCACUAUGGAUGGAGGCAACCUGUAGAUGUCAGCAACUGUCAGUAAUGGGGUCCCAGAGUUCAGAUGCUGGUACUAAAUUUGUCAGCCACUGCAGGCAAAAGAGGCCCUGGAGCUGUCAGUCCCAGUAGGUGCUCGAACUCCUUCAACUUCCAGCAGCAAGGCUAGGGCUUCAGUUGUCUCCCAGUCAGCCCCUUCCCGCCCAUUAUUUCGAGUAAAAGUCACAGAGAGGUUAUGGGCUUCCAUGAAUUGUUAUCACCUACAACCUGUCCCUGACAUUUACUAAAAAUAACUGAGACAAAAUCUUAACUUGAUCACUUUCUCAAACAGGCAGUUUAGGCUUUUCAAGCAAGAGAUGGAAACAGUUCAUCCCAAGUUUGCAACAAUCUGUGGAUGAAAGGCAUCUGAUUUCCUGGUAUAGCUUUUUAAUUGCUGUCACUAUUAUUUUUCACCUGCCUCUGUUUAAAAAAGAACAAAAUCUGCUGUUGCUAAGCAAGGAUACUGCAUCUUUUUCUUGAGCCCUGCCUGUAAAUGGCCACCUGGGGAAAAAUGAGUAGCUUGGGUUUCUGAGUUGAUCUAGAUUAAUUAAAUGGGCAAAAUGUACUGAGAUACAAAACCAGUGAUUCUUGCAGAGUUAAUUAUGUAAUAAAAAACAGAGUCUCUGCAUAUUCCGUCUUUCCAUGUAUAUUGGGCAGGUGGGCUGUUUACAGUAGAGCUCUGGAGAACUGUGCUCAAAUCUAGUUCAGUUCUGAACAAAAAUAACUAUACCAUUGAAUCAAGUAGUUUAGUGCUUGGGGGAAUCAAUUGAUAAAAAUACCUCUGAAACUGGAAUGCAAAAUAGCACAGUAUGUAGGGGAAAAUAUCCCUGAUGCAAACAAAGCCAUAAAAAGAUUUAAUAAAACUAGAAUUUUAGUAGCAAUAACUGUUUUGCAUGUAAUAGUAACUAACUUGCAUUAGCAAGAUUGUACCGUAGAAUAAGUGGUAAUAACCAAAUAAGUUUGUGGUCUGUGCUGCAGGGAGUUGCAUGAAGAGAACAGUGUCUCUUUUUAAGAAGAUGGAAGAAUUUUUCUUACUAUUCUCCUCCUUUGAGGGAAAUGGCACUUAAAUACUAUAGUGAUGAGACUUGUAUCAAACCUGGAUAGCUGUAGGUCAUGUAUCUAAAUUGGUGCAUGUAGGGGAAGAGUGACUGGUUUCCCUAUUGCUUGUUUUGUAGAGUAGCAUGUGCAGUGCCUCUGAGAGGAAAGUGCUGAGAUGUGAAGAAGACCCAUUCCCCACAGUUGGAAAGCAUGAUUCAAAGCUUUUUAUUGAGAGAGAGAGUUUUGUUUUUAUAAAGAAAAAACAAGUAGAAAUGUGACGUGUCCUAAAAAGAAAGCAUUGCAAAAUGUUGACAUGCUAAAUAUUUUUUUCUGCAGGGACAGAAUUGCAGGAUUUCUCUUUCAAAAGACUAUCCUACUUCCAAUUUUAAGUACAAAUCAGCCAUAUGUUUCCAUUUAAGAUUAAAACUGUCUUCUGUUCACCGUUUUCAGUUUUGCAAAGCCAGUUGCAGUAGAUUCUCAGAGGCAGAUUGAUCUGCUUACUGUGGCCUUUGUCCCUGGCAACUUUUGACGACCUUUAAAAGAACCUAUGGAGUUUUAAAAUACAACCCACAGUCAACCUUGUCUUCGAUACAUAUGUGUAGCCUGCCGAGAGUAUACAAGGUAGCAUGCCAUUUUCUGUCCUGAAUUGAAUUAUUAAACCAAAGUGUGUAUUGAUCCAUGUGGUGACUUAAUCUCUUUGAUCACAAUGGAAUAUUGCAUCUGUAGUCUCUGCAAGUGGCUGCACUUUGCUUCAUUAUUUAGUAAACUAGGUGGGGCCAUUUGUCCCCUAGCAAGUUAAUAAUAUGACCCUCUGUUGGGGCAAAAUGUAGGUACCCUUACUCUAAUGUAACCAAGAUCAGUGUUUGGAUAAGUAGCUAAGUUUAGUAAGUAGGGGCAUAUUCAGUAGUACUCUUGUACAUGAAAACCUGUGAUCUGAAAGAUGGUGGGUAAAAUAAAUUCCGGGCAUUAAAUUAUUAUUAAAGCAGGAAGCAUACCAAGAGUAAACCUUAACUUGAUCAUAUUAUUGACCUCUAGAUGGUAUUAGAUGAGCCUUAUAUACUUACAAAAAUCUACUUGCCAGUCUUUUACUAUAAUACAGGCAGUCCUCAGACUUACAACACAAUUACUUCCUUACAGUUGCGCUGUAAGUUGGAACAUUGUAACUUAGACUCGCAGUAUACUUCACUGGAGACUAAGCAUUGUAAAAUCAAAACCUAUAGUCAGAAGUCGAAUUAGGGUAUCAGUCUAGAAGUGUUGUGUUGUUUGAGUUAAGUGAAAUGUCAAAAGGCUGAGGACUACCUGUAAUGAAAACACUAUCUUGCUCACUUCUCCAGAAUAUAUACUUUUCCUAGCUGAGUAGAGUUUUGCAAGACUGUGUUACAGUUAAAAUGAAAACCUGCAAGCCUAUGGUAGCCAUGAAGGCUAUUUGAUUGUUGGUGCCAAUGCAGUUUUUCUCGUGUACUAUUCUCCUGGGGGUGACUACAUUUCAAAAGACUGCUCACAACAGCAGUGUCAGAGAUCCUGCUUCCCUAAAGCCACUGAGCAGUGGCAUGGUAUCUUUUUUUUUUCUCUCCCAAACUCUUGAUUUCCUUGCUUGAAAAACAAAGCAGGAACUUCAGACAAUAUGAUGGUUGUCAAGUAGUGCCAUUCUAAAACUAGGUCUAUGCAGUACUAGGUCUACUUUAGAUCAUGUGUGUGUGGACUGUGCAGAAACUUAUGGUCUGCUUUUUUUUUUGUUUAUUGGUGCUGUUGGAGAAGUUCUAGCCAGUACUUAUGCUGUGAAUUUUAUUUCUUGUUCAGUACAGCUGGCUGGAUACGAUCUUUUCAGCACUAAGGAAUUCUUGUGGCAAGUUUUUGGGGAUAGUAGGACACUGCUAUUUUAAACAGAGCUUACCUUGACAGCAGAACUGGUUGUGAGUUUUAUGGAAGUACUACUCAAUAGUAAUGGGAGAACAGAACCUUUUCCUGAGGAAGUUUGUCAGUACUCUUAAAGACCCCCCUUUUCCCUGCAUUGCAGUGACCAUUCUUUUAAGCCACUAAUCUAGACUGGCUGAGAUUUCCUUCCAAGCCCAUUUGAGCAGCUCUUUACUAGAGGAGAGGGCUACCUGUUGGGCAAUUCAGGGUAUAGCCAUUCCUCCCAGAGGUUCAGCAUCUUGUCUCCACAGUAUGCCCAGGGUAGGGUACCAAGGGCCAGCAAUAGAACCUGGGUGUUUCAAAUAGCGGUGGAGAAUGCUAUCUAUGGAGCCCUUCCCCCUGCACCACUUUUUUCCUGAAGUUAGACUUCAAAAUAAUGCAAAUUCAUUAGUAAAGGACAGGUCUGUCACUAAACCUAUGUACCAAGCACUCACAGUGCACUCAUUCUCUUAAGGCUUACCUUUUAUCUUGACUGUCAGAUGUUCUGUCUUUACCAUAGGUCCUGUGUAAAUUCUGUUUUCUCACCAAACUCUGUGUUUGCGGGGCAACUAAGAGGAUGUUUGUAUGUGAAGCCCUAGGAGCAAAAAACUGCAUGGACAAACUGAGGAAGAGUGGCACAGGCCCAUAAAUCAAGUCUUAUAGAGCUAGUAUUCUAAUUAUGCAUGAUUCAAAAUGUCUAGUGUUACAUAGUUAUUACCAGUAAAUUCAGAUAUGCAUUUAUUCAUAAUGAAGCAAUAGGAACUAAUAUACCAAUAGCUUGAAUUUACUGCUUUGAUUCUCAAAUUACGUUUUUAGAAAACGCACUGCCUCUGUAGACAAAGGGGCAGAUUGUACAAAUAGGGACAGAAGAAGCAUGGCACCAAAACUGCAUAUCAGGAACAAGGAUCAGCAGGACUCGCCUUUUUAACCUCUUGCCUGGUUCACAUUAAUGCCCUGAGCAUGUAAAAAACAGGGUAUGAACUAAGCAUGUUUAGUGGCGAGAUAAGGUUUCUCAGCUGCUGCAAUUGUAGCAAAUGGAAAGGUGCAGAGUUUCACAGGGUGUGGGGAGGGUUAAGGGUGAAAUCUAUAAAAAAUGACUCGUAAACUUGAGUGUAGGAUUUGCCUGAUAACAGGUGAAAGAGGUCUUGACUUAGUGAGGUACAUUCUUUGAAGGGGGUUGAAAUCAAUAAGCACAGUCCAUGUAUUUCAGGUGUUGAAUAGCUUUUUAAUAGUAUUUUCAGGUAAUUCUUAGCCACAGAGGCUGCUGUACUGAAGCAUACUGGUAUGAAUGAGCAGUUAUGGCACCAUGUAGGAAUGAACCUGAAACAUUUGACAAACUUGUGUUUUUAUUUUGUUGAGUUCUGACUAAAAUUUUUUUUUUUCAAAAGUGAUGAGAUUUCCUCAUUGGGGGUCCUGUCGUGGCAACACAGGUGACAAUGUAUUUUUGUUCUUGAUUUCACUGUUUUUGUUUUUUUUUAAACCUAGUGAACUUGAUAUGAAGGGACUUAUGGAAAUUAGGUGCCAUCUAUUUGUAAACUUUCACUGUGUUUUCUGUAAAGAAUAUAUCUUGGAACCACUGUGUGGGUGUUUGGGGAAAAUUUCUGCUGGGAAUGUAAUGUGGUGUGUCUUCAGCAGGGCAUAAGAACUAAUGCUGCUUUAACUUGUCUAGAGUAUGCAAAACUCAUAGCUCUUAGACUGAGACAAUUAACCUGCAUGAUAUCUUCUGGCUAAAUCUAACUUUGGAGGAGGACCUAGUUUAUGUGAAAACCCCUCUGUCAGAGAUUCCCUCCUCUUUCUUUAAAGAAACAAAAUGGGGCAAGAGGGUUUAUUGGUCAAGUUAAUUCCUAUCUACAUUCUUAGCCAUUAAUACAAGUCUUAUCCCCAAGACCACCCACAAUGCAGAGUUGGUGUGGGGGCCAUAUUUUUUUAUUCUUUCUUUAGAUAUAUAGUAGUUGCCAAAUGAAAAAAAAAAAA